UACAGAGGUCCCAAGCGUUGUUCGGAUUCAUUGGGCGUAAAGGGUGUGUAGGUGGCGCCGUAAGUCGGGUGUGAAAUUUCGGAGCUUAACUCCGAAACUGCAUUCGAUACUGCGGUGCUUGAGGACUGGAGAGGAGACUGGAAUUCAUGGUGUAGCAGUGAAAUGCGUAGAGAUCAUGAGGAAGACCAGUGGCGAAGGCGGGUCUCUGGACAGUUCCUGACACUGAGACACGAAGGCCAGGGGAGCAAACGG
rnacentral:rRNA from 1 species